rnacentral:rRNA from 1 species
UACGGAGGGGGCGAGCGUUGUUCGGAAUUACUGGGCGUAAAGGGCGCGUAGGCGGCGCGACACGUCAGGGGUGAAAGGCCCGGGCUCAACCUGGGAAUUGCCUUUGAAACUGUUGUGCUAGAGACCGGGAGAGGAUGGCGGAAUUCCCAGUGUAGAGGUGAAAUUCGUAGAUAUUGGGAAGAACACCGGUGGCGAAGGCGGCCAUCUGGACCGGAUCUGACGCUGAGGCGCGAAAGCGUGGGGAGCAAACAGG